rnacentral:rRNA from 1 species
AGAGCGAACGCUGGCGGCAGGCUUAACACAUGCAAGUCGAACGGAUCCUUCGGGAUUAGUGGCGGACGGGUGAGUAACACGUGGGAACGUGCCUUUAGGUUCGGAACAACACAGGGAAACUUGUGCUAAUACCGGAUGUGCCCUUCGGGGGAAAGAUUUAUCGCCUUUAGAGCGGCCCGCGUCUGAUUAGCUUGUUGGUGAGGUAAAGGCUCACCAAGGCUACGAUCAGUAGCUGGUCUGAGAGGAUGGCCAGCCACAUUGGGACUGAGACACGGCCCAAACUCCUACGGGAGGCAGCAGUGGGGAAUCUUGCGCAAUGGGGGAAACCCUGACGCAGCCAUGCCGCGUGGAUGAUGAAGGUCUUAGGAUUGUAAAAUCCUUUCAGCGGGGACGAUAAUGACGGUACCGCAGAAGAAGCCCCGGCUAACUUCGCGCCAGCAGCCGC